UCUUUAUGAAAGGAAUCCAUCUAGCCUUAGCACGAGAUCUUAUCGGCCGGACAGUUUUCAGCAAAAUACGCCUAUGCAUACUGGCUAUGAUAAUAGAGUUAAUGCAGAACAAUCUUCAAGUCCUCUAUAUGAUAACAAGGUACUAAGAUCAUGUUUUUCAAACGUGCCAUACAGCUUAGCUCCUCACUUUAUGUCAUCAUUUGAUUCAUGAUUAUUUGGUCACUUUGCAUAGUAGAUUUUACACAUGACAUGGUUAAUUGCAGGUUUGUCCAAUUUGUCUCAUCAAUGCAAAGGAUAUGGCUUUUGGUUGCGGGCAUCAGACUUGUUGCGAAUGCGGUGUAAACCUCGAAUUCUUCCCCAUUUGCAGAAGCACAAUCCAAACCAGGAUAAGGCUUUACUAGUUAUUUACGAUGCAGAAUCGGUUUUACUUGCUAAUUUGUUCUGUUGCAUGAUAAAAGUUGGUCAUAAAAAGGAACUCAGAAACCAAGUGUUGUUUUGAAACCGUAAACCAUAAAAUUAUAGAUUCAUGGAUGGGUUACUUGUUGUUUUGAGAGAGGGAGAGAGAUGUAAAGAAUUGUUGUGAAUGUUGAUGGGUAGGUUACUUCUUGUACAUAAAAUACUGUAUUUGCAAUUUUGAGCCAAAAAACUGUAGAAAGGAUGGACCUUACCCCCUUGUCUAUA